rnacentral:rRNA from 1 species
AGUGAACGCUGGCGGUAGGCCUAACACAUGCAAGUCGAACGGCAGCACAGUAAGAGCUUGCUCUUACGGGUGGCGAGUGGCGGACGGGUGAGGAAUACAUCGGAAUCUACUUUUUCGAGGGGGAUAACGUAGGGAAACUAACGCUAAUACCGCAUACGACCUACGGGUGAAAGCAGGGGAUCUUCUGACCUUGCGCGAUUGAGUGAGCCGAUGUCGGAGUAGCUAGUUGGCGGGGUAAAGGCCCACCCAGGCGACGAUCCGUAGCUGGUCUGAGAGGAUGAUCGGCCACACUGGAAGUGGGACACGGUCCAGACUCCUACGGGAGGCAGCAGUGGGGAAUAUUGGACAAAGGGCGCAAGUCUGAUCCAGCCAUACCGCGUGGGUGAAGGAGGCCUUCGGGUUGUAAAGCCCUUUUGUGGGGAAAGAAAAUCAGCAGGUUAAUACGCCGCUGUUCUGACGGUACCCAAAGAAGAAGCACCGGCUAACUUCGUG